AAGCCCCAGUAAACGGCGGCCGUAACUAUAACGGUCCUAAGGUAGCGAAAUUCCUUGUCGGGCAAGUUCCGACCUGCACGAAUGGCAUAACGAUGGCCACACUGUCUCCUCCUGAGACUCAGUGAAGUUGAAGUGUUUGUGAUGAUGCAAUCUCCCCGCGGCUAGACGGAAAGACCCCAUGAACCUUUACUGUAGCUUUGCAUUGGACUUUGAACCGAUCUGUGUAGGAUAGGCGGGAGCCUGUGAAACCACAACGCCAGUUGUGGCGGAGGCGUCCUUGAAAUACCGCCCUGAUUUGUUUGAGGUUCUAACCUGGGACAGUCAUCCUGUCCGGGGACCGUGCAUGGUAGGCAGUUUGACUGGGGCGGUCUCCUCCUAAAGGGUAACGGAGGAGUGCGAAGGUACGCUAGGUACGGUCGGAAAUCGUGCUGAUAGUGCAAUGGCAAAAGCGUGCUUGACUGCGAGACCCACAAGUCGAGCAGAUACGAAAGUAGGUCAUAGUGAUCCGGUGGCUCUGUAUGGAAGGGCCAUCGCUCAACGGAUAAAAGGUACUCUGGGGAUAACAGGCUGAUACCGCCCAAGAGUUCAUAUCGACGGCGGUGUUUGGCACCUCGAUGUCGGCUCAUCUCAUCCUGGGGCUGUAGCCGGUCCCAAGGGUAUGGCUGUUCGCCAUUUAAAGAGGUACGUGAGCUGGGUUUAAAACGUCGUGAGACAGUUUUGUCCCUAUCUGCCGUGGGCGCUGGAAGAUUGACGGGGGCUGCUCCUAGUACGAGAGGACCGGAGUGGACUCACCUCUGGUGUACCGGUUGUCACGCCAGUGGCAUCGCCGGGUAGCUAUGUGGGGAAGAGAUAACCGCUGAAAGCAUCUAAGCGGGAAACUUGCCUGAAGAUAAGUCUUCCUGGAGGCUAGACCUCCCUAAAGAGUCGUUCGAGACCAGGACGUUGAUAGGAUGGGUGUGUAAGUGCUGUGAGGCACUCAGCUAACCAUUACUAAUUGCUCGUGAAGCUUGAUCCU
rnacentral:rRNA from 1 species